CAAGCUCUGGAAUCAGCAAAACCAGACUCCUGCUCAGAACAAGGUAAGAGGAUGUGCAGUCUUGUUGGGGCUACCUGAGGCCUGGCUCCCCACUGCAAGGCCGGAUCGAAGGCAUGGCUGACCUGGCCUUCGGGUCUGCUGUCAUCCCAGUUCCUGGCGGCGGCCUGUAGGGAGGUCCACAUGGGCAGCCUAAACGGGGGUGGGGGGGCACAGGCCCCGGGAGCCCAACCUUGGAUCUGACA
rnacentral:snoRNA from 1 species